AACCAGUUUCUUUUCUUAUUGCAGAAUUAUGCUGCUGGUGUAGAAUUGAAAUGAUGUCCUUCCACCAGAUGGAAUCUUGAUUAGCUGUUGUGCCCUCCUCCAAAUCCCUCAAACCACCAUACUUGGAAUCUAGUAUUUUUGCCCAAGGCUCCUCGUGCUUGUGAAAAAGAUCCCAUCGCCAUUUUCCCAACAGGGCCGCGUUAAAUGUCCUAAGAUCUUUGACUCUAAGGCCACCUCUGUCUUUUGGUUGACAUAUUUUCUUCCAAUUGACCCAAGCUAUCUU
rnacentral:misc_RNA from 1 species